rnacentral:rRNA from 1 species
UAGGGAAUCUUCCGCAAUGGGCGAAAGCUUGACGGAGCAACGCCGCGUGAGUGAUGAAGGUCUUCGGAUCGUAAAACUCUGUUAUUAGGGAAGAACAAAUGUGUAAGUAACUAUGCACGUCUUGACGGUACCUAAUCAGAAAGCCACGGCUAACUACGUGCCAGCAGCCGCGGUAAUACGUAGGUGGCAAGCGUUAUCCGGAAUUAUUGGGCGUAAAGCGCGCGUACGCGGUUUUUUAAGUCUGAUGUGAAAGCCCACGGCUCAACCGUGGAGGGUCAUUGGAAACUGGAAAACUUGAGUGCAGAAGAGGAAAGUGGAAUUCCAUGUGUAGCGGUGAAAUGCGCAGAGAUAUGGAGGAACACCAGUGGCGAAGGCGACUUUCUGGUCUGUAACUGACGCUGAUGUGCGAAAGCGUGGGGAUCAAACAGG